rnacentral:rRNA from 1 species
AGAGUUUGAUCCUGGCUCAGGACGAACGCUGGCGGCGUGCUUAACACAUGCAAGUCGAACGAAGCUUGAUUACGGAUUCUUCGGAUGAAGUAUGAUAUGACUGAGUGGCGGACGGGUGAGUAACGCGUGAGUAACCUGCCCUUCAGAGGGGGAUAGCGUUUGGAAACGAACGGUAAUACCGCAUAAUGUAUUUUGACCGCAUGAUCGAAAUACCAAAGAUUUAUCGCUGAAGGAUGGACUCGCGUCUGAUUAGGUAGUUGGUGGGGUAACGGCCUACCAAGCCGACGAUCAGUAGCCGGACUGAGAGGUUGAUCGGCCACAUUGGGACUGAGACACGGCCCAGACUCCUACGGGAGGCAGCAGUGGGGAAUAUUGCACAAUGGGCGCAAGCCUGAUGCAGCAACGCCGCGUGAAGGAAGACGGUUUUCGGAUUGUAAACUUCUGUUCUUAGUGAAGAAUAAUGACGGUAGCUAAGGAGCAAGCCACGGCUAACUACGUGCCAGCAGCCGCGGUAAUACGUAGGUGGCAAGCGUUGUCCGGAAUUACUGGGUGUAAAGGGAGCGCAGGCGGGUGAUCAAGUCAGCUGUGAAAACUACGGGCUUAACCCGUAGACUGCAGUUGAAACUGUUCAUCUUGAGUGAAGUAGAGGUUGGCGGAAUUCCGAGUGUAGCGGUGAAAUGCGUAGAUAUUCGGAGGAACACCGGUGGCGAAGGCGGCCAACUGGGCUUUAACUGACGCUGAGGCUCGAAAGUGUGGGGAGCAAACAGGAUUAGAUACCCUGGUAGUCCACACUGUAAACGAUGAUUGCUAGGUGUGGGGGGUCUGACCCCUUCCGUGCCGGAGCUAACGCAAUAAGCAAUCCACCUGGGGAGUACGACCGCAAGGUUGAAACUCAAAGGAAUUGACGGGGACCCGCACAAGCAGUGGAUUAUGUGGUUUAAUUCGAAGCAACGCGAAGAACCUUACCAGCACUUGACAUCCAACUAACGAAAUAGAGAUAUAUUAGGUGCCCUUCGGGGGAAAGUUGAGACAGGUGGUGCAUGGUUGUCGUCAGCUCGUGUCGUGAGAUGUUGGGUUAAGUCCCGCAACGAGCGCAACCCUCGCCAUUAGUUGCUACGCAAGAGCACUCUAAUGGGACCGCUACCGACAAGGUGGAGGAAGGUGGGGACGACGUCAAAUCAUCAUGCCCCUUAUGUGCUGGGCUACACACGUAAUACAAUGGCCAUCAACAGAGAGAAGCAAUACCGCGAGGUGGAGCAAAACUUCAAAAAUGGUCUCAGUUCGGACUGCAGGCUGCAACCCGCCUGCACGAAGUUGGAAUUGCUAGUAAUCGUGGAUCAGCAUGCCACGGUGAAUACGUUCCC